rnacentral:rRNA from 1 species
UGGAGGGCAAGUCUGGUGCCAGCAGCCGCGGUAAUUCCAGCUCCAAUAGCGUAUAUUAAAGUUGUUGCAGUUAAAAAGCUCGUAGUUGAACCUUGGGCCUGGCUGGCCGGUCCGCCUCACCGCGUGUACUGGUCCGGCCGGGCCUUUCCUUCUGGGGAACCUCAUGCCCUUCACUGGGCGUGUUGGGGAACCAGGACUUUUACUUUGAAAAAAUUAGAGUGUUCAAAGCAGGCCUUUGCUCGAAUACAUUAGCAUGGAAUAAUAGAAUAGGACGUGUGGUUCUAUUUUGUUGGUUUCUAGGACCGCUGUAAUGAUUAAUAGGGACAGUCGGGGGCAUCAGUAUUCAAUUGUCAGAGGUGAAAUUCUUGGAUUUAUUGAAGACUAGCUACUGCGAAAGCAUUUGCCAAGGAUGUUUUCAUUAAUCAGGAACGAAAGUUAGGGGAUCGAAGACGAUCAGAUACCGUCGUAGUCUUAACCAUAAACUAUGCCGACUAGGGAUCGGACGGUGUUAUAUUUUGACCCGUUUGGCACCUUACGGGAAAC